AACGAACGCUGGCGGCAGGCUUAACACAUGCAAGUCGAACGCCCCGCAAGGGGAGUGGCAGACGGGUGAGUAACGCGUGGGAAUGUGCCCAAAGGUUCGGAACAACUCCGGGAAACUGGAGCUAAUACCGAAUGUGACCGAGAGGUGAAAGAUUUAUCGCCUUUGGAUCAGCCCGCGUCAGAUUAGCUAGUUGGUGGGGUAAUGGCCUACCAAGGCGACGAUCUGUAGCUGGUCUGAGAGGACGACCAGCCACACUGGGACUGAGACACGGCCCAGACUCCUACGGGAGGCAGCAGUGGGGAAUCUUGGACAAUGGGCGAAAGCCUGAUCCAGCCAUGCCGCGUGGAUGAUGAAGGCCUUAGGGUUGUAAAAUCCUUUCGUCGGGACGAUAGUGACGGUACCCGAAGAAGAAGCUCCGGCUAACUUCGUGCCAGCCGCCGCAGUAA
rnacentral:rRNA from 1 species